CCUUGAAGAAGGUGGGCCCUCCGUAGGUGUAGUCGUACAGACGAAGCCGAUGAGGGUUGCAGAGAAAUGGCGGUAGCGACUGUUUACCAAAAACACAGGACUCUGCGAAGACGACAAGUCGACGUAUAGGGUCUGACUCCUGCCCGGUGCUGGAAGGUUAAGGGGAUUCGUCAGCCGCAAGGCGAAGCGAUGAUCCGAAGCCCCAGUAAACGGCGGCCGUAACGAUAACGGUCCUAAGGUAGCGAAAUUCCUUGUCGGGUAAGUUCCGACCUGCACGAAUGGAGUAACGACUUCCGCGCUGUCUCGGAGAGGGACUCAGCGAAAUUGAAAUAGCUGUGCCGAUGCAGUUUACCCGCAGCAAGACGGAAAGACCCCGUGAACCUUUACUACAACUUGACAGUGACACUAGGGAUUGACUGUGUAGGAUAGGUGGGAGCCUUUGAAACCGGGCCGCUAGGUUCGGUGGAGGCAACGGUGAAAUACCACCCUGUUGAUUUCUGGUGUCUAACCGUGUCCCAUAAUCUGGGAUCGGGACACUGUCUGGUGGGUAGUUUGACUGGGGCGGCCGCCUCCCAAAGCGUAACGGAGGCGCGCGAUGGUUCCCUCAGCCCGAUUGGAAACCGGGCGGCGAGUGCAAUGGCAUAAGGGAGCUUAACUGCGAGACAGACAUGUCGAGCAGGUGCGAAAGCAGGUCAUAGUGAUCCGGUGGUUCUGAAUGGAAGGGCCAUCGCUCAACGGAUAAAAGGUACUCCGGGGAUAACAGGCUUAUCUCCUCCAAGAGUUCACAUCGACGAGGAGGUUUGGCACCUCGAUGUCGGCUCAUCGCAUCCUGGGGCUGGAGCAGGUCCCAAGGGUUUGGCUGUUCGCCAAUUAAAGCGGUACGCGAGCUGGGUUCAAAACGUCGUGAGACAGUUUGGUCCCUAUCUGCUGUGGGCGUAGGAUACUUGAGAGGAUCUGUCCUUAGUACGAGAGGACCGGGAUGGAGACACCUCUGGUGUACCAGUUGUCACGCCAGUGGCAUCGCUGGGUAGCCAUGUGUCGAUUGGAUAACCGCUGAAAGCAUCUAAGCGGGAAACCGACCUCAAGAAUAGGUAUCCCGGGGGAAACCCCCUGAAGACCCGUCGAAGACUACGACGUUGAUAGGCCGGGUGUGUAAGCGUGGCAACACGUUGAGCUAACCGGUACUAAUUGGUCGUGCGGCUUACUUU
rnacentral:rRNA from 1 species